CAACAGCACGAAAUCAAUCAAUUUAUCUUUUCCAAAAAAUUAACUUUAUUUAAAUGUGCAAAAUACCUCCCACAACAUCAUCAACUGCUCCAGCUGCAUCACUUAAUGACUUUAGCUCUCCAAGCUUUUCACUCAAGGUACCAACAGUUUCAAGUGCUUGAUCGACCGGAGUGAUAGCGGGAAUUAGUGACCCAAUAGUUCCAAGUGCAUCCGUCAGUGAACAAUUAGCAAUUACAGAAUUGACCAAAGUUGGAACGUCAGAUACUAGGUACGACAUAAUACCGAAGGGCGCAGGAAACAAACUUCUAUCGAAAGUUACGGGAUCGACUUCGUUUUCGGUUUUGCAAACAUUGUAGACGUAGCCUGGAAGUUUUGUGCAUAUCUGAGCAGAUGAACAGUCAGAGUCCAUCGAACAGAAA